rnacentral:rRNA from 1 species
GUUUGAUGGCGACCGGCGCACGGGUGAGUAACACGUAUCCAACCUGCCGAUGACUCGGGGAUAGCCUUUCGAAAGAAAGAUUAAUACCCGAUGGCAUAGUUCUUCCGCAUGGUGGAACUAUUAAAGAAUUUCGGUCAUCGAUGGGGAUGCGUUCCAUUAGGUUGUUGGCGGGGUAACGGCCCACCAAGCCUUCGAUGGAUAGGGGUUCUGAGAGGAAGGUCCCCCACAUUGGAACUGAGACACGGUCCAAACUCCUACGGGAGGCAGCAUG